rnacentral:tRNA from 1 species
GCCCGUGUAGUUCAGUCGGUAGAACAUCCCGUUGGUAAUGGGAAGGUCGGCGGUUCAAUUCCGCCCGCGGGCUCCA